GGAGCUUGCUCCUCUGACGUUAGCGGCGGACGGGUGAGUAACACGUGGAUAACCUACCUAUAAGACUGGGAUAACUUCGGGAAACCGGAGCUAAUACCGGAUAAUAUAUUGAACCGCAUGGUUCAAUAGUGAAAGACGGUUUUGCUGUCACUUAUAGAUGGAUCCGCGCCGCAUUAGCUAGUUGGUAAGGUAACGGCUUACCAAGGCAACGAUGCGUAGCCGACCUGAGAGGGUGAUCGGCCACACUGGAACUGAGACACGGUCCAGACUCCUACGGGAGGCAGCAGUAGGGAAUCUUCCGCAAUGGGCGAAAGCCUGACGGAGCAACGCCGCGUGAGUGAUGAAGGUCUUCGGAUCGUAAAACUCUGUUAUUAGGGAAGAACAAAUGUGUAAGUAACUAUGCACGUCUUGACGGUACCUAAUCAGAAAGCCACGGCUAACUACGUGCCAGCAGCCGCGGUAAUACGUAGGUGGCAAGCGUUAUCCGGAAUUAUUGGGCGUAAAGCGCGCGUAGGCGGUUUUUUAAGUCUGAUGUGAAAGCCCACGGCUCAACCGUGGAGGGUCAUUGGAAACUGGAAAACUUGAGUGCAGAAGAGGAAAGUGGAAUUCCAUGGGU
rnacentral:rRNA from 1 species